rnacentral:rRNA from 1 species
GAUGAACGCUGCCGGAAUGCUUAACACAUGCAAGUCGACUGGGUGGCGGACGGGUGAGUAACGCGUAAAGAACUUGCCUCCCAGCUAGGGACAACAUUUGGAAACGAAUGCUACUACCUAAUCCUGUGAGAGAGCUUUGCGUCCCAUUAGCUAGUUGGAGAGGUAACGGCUCACCAAGGCGAUGAUGGGUAGCCGGCCUGAGAGGGUGAUCGGGCCCAAGGGGACUGGGACACCGCCCGUACGCAGACUGGAGGAAGGAGUGGGGAAUUGUGGACAACGGGCCAAGGUCUGAUCAAGGAAUUCGGUGUGUACGAUGAAGUUUUUCGGAAGGUAGGGGUCUUGGUUUAUAGACGGUACCCGAAGAGAAAGCCACGGCUAACUACGUGCCAGCCGCCGCGGUAAUUC